CAGCUCGGAGAGCACUCGAUCCUACAGACGGGGAGGCCGGAAUCUGGAAGACGGUCCCGCUGCCCGGCUGCCUCUGUGUAGAAGGAACAUUCCGGUUGGCCUCAUGGAAGGAGAUGGUUCAAAGAUUGGGGUUCUCCCGGCAAGUUCCCUGCAACUCUCACAUGACUAGCUCCUCGCUGAUUCCUCUGCAUGGCCCACACUGGACCCCAACAUUCAGUGCUUGGACUUGAGACCACAGAUCUGGGAGCUCACCUUUUGGGAACCAUGACCCUGCCAAGGACACUGGCCCGUCUGUGUUGGAGCUGAUGUCCUGGGCCAGGCAGCUCUGGAGUUAGGUCUGACAGUGUCUGGGCUGGGUUAAGUUACACAAUCCUCAGUAUUCACCAUACAGGAUUGUGCUCCCCCUACCAGGGUGGGGUCCACUCACCAUCAUUCACACCCAGGUACUGUCUUGUAGCCACGUAUCAAUCUGGUGAUUCUCUUUAGUGAAGUCUAACUUCGGGUCCAGACCUUUGCUAGGUACCACAGAUGCCACAAGAGUAAGACACACGUCCUGCAGGUGUGGGCUCCUCAUUGGAAAGCUGGGCCCAAGAACUGCCGUGGAACGAGCAGAGCCAGAUGCAGAGGGAAGGCUCUGGGCUCAGGGCCAGGACGGACAUCAGCUGGUCUCCUGUCUGGUCACUGCAGUUGUUAACAACCCAGAUCUAGGUGGUCAAGGCCUGUGGUGGACAGGCUAAACUACUCCGAAUGGCUCCCUUAGAGACCAGCCUUACCCUCCCUGGGGUCCCCAGCCUGGAAGUAGAAGAUGACUCACCUGCCUUCCUUGAUUCA
rnacentral:lncRNA from 1 species